AAGCUGCUUCAAUAUGCGCAUAGAGAAGAUUAUGUUCAAGACGUUAGCUCGUUUGCAUUUCAAUGGUUGGAAGACAUGCCACGCCAAGACAACAGCUAUGAUUGUGGUCUUUUCGUCAUCAAAUAUAUGCAAGGGAAACCUUUGCCUUCGGGUGUAAUCAAGGGCUCGCUUGUUACUUGAUCUUGUGAUAUACAAGCAUAAUUC